GAGGGAACGCUGUAGUGGCGUCAUCACAUCCAUUCACCGGGCAAGCAUGGCGGCUAAGCAUCAGAGAGGCCCAGUGUAAACAAACCCAUACAACGAGCUUGCAGUGCGCGACGUAGUGAUCAGGCUCGACGAUGGCCACUAUUUCUUGGAUAGUUCUGUUCCUCCGUGGGCAAUCUUCCCGUGCACGCGGUAAGACUGCCAAUAGCUUCGGCGAUUUUACAGAUCGCAACGCGCACCUACUGUUCACGGCGAAGUGCUGAAGAAACAACUUGUCCUGUGCUGCUUCUGCGAGUGCGCCGAGUUCCUCCACUCUGCGUGACUGCGAGCGUCACGAACAUUACAUAGUGUGGGCAAAAGGCAGACAUCCUCUAUAGCUACGAUGCAACAAGGAGGUGGUACCGACGAUGGAUCUCGCUACCAACACAGUGAAGGAGACAUCGACAAACUGCAGAUAACAAAACAUUCUGCUGCUGGAGGCACUCAACCGCCUGGUGGCAGUAGGCGAGCGCCAGGCACGUGCUCUUGAGAGUGUGGCAGAGGUCCAGAGGGCUGCUCUGCAACAGUAGGAUCGGUGCCCUCACUGCUCUGCUGUCGAGCCCACAGAAGGCACCUUAUAAAGGAGCUUUCAGUUUAAUAUUUUGUUUAUUAUUCAAGAACAUGAAUAAAAUUAUUGCAGUAAACAUUGUGCUGUGCAUAUUAGGAGACUUGUAACAUGCACUUGGUGUCCCUUCAAAAUAGGCAAAAACGUAAGACAACCUGCGCCACUCUUGGACCAUGUAAAUAAAAAAUACACUAAUGCAGCAU
rnacentral:lncRNA from 1 species